AUUGAACGCUGGCGGCAUGCCUUACACAUGCAAGUCGAACGGUAACAGGUCUUCGGAUGCUGACGAGUGGCGAACGGGUGAGUAGUACAUCGGAACGUGCCUAGUAGUGGGGGAUAACUACUCGAAAGAGUGGCUAAUACCGCAUGAGAUCUACGGAUGAAAGCAGGGGAUCGCAAGACCUUGUGCUACUAGAGCGGCCGAUGGCAGAUUAGGUAGUUGGUGGGAUAAAAGCUUACCAAGCCGACGAUCUGUAGCUGGUCUGAGAGGACGAUCAGCAACACUGGGACUGAGAAACGGCCCAGACUCCUACGGGAGGCAGCAGUGGGGAAUUUUGGACAAUGGGCGCAAGCCUGAUCCAGCAAUGCCGCGUGCAGGAUGAAGGCCUUCGGGUUGUAAACUGCUUUUGUACGGAACGAAAAGCCCCGGGUUAAUACCCUGGGGUCAUGACGGUACCGUAAGAAUAAGCACCGGCUAACUACGUGCCAGCCGCCGCCGUAA
rnacentral:rRNA from 1 species